GCGGGCAGCGGGCCGGGAGCCAAAGCCACUGUCAAACGCGGGUUAAGCACGUUGGUCACGUGUCGGCCGCCGUCCCAGUUUGAGGAGGUUCGCGCGCCAAUCGCUGCCGAGACACUAGCGGGAGGCGUUGUGGUCAGUGACUUUGGAGGCCUCCGAUGGUGUGGUGGGUGGCUGAGGAGACUGGCCGUGGAUCUGGGGGGAGCACGAGGCGGGUGCAACGUGAUUCUCACGUGGACGGGCCUUGGGGAGGGUGGAUCUCAGUCUGCGGAGACUUGGAAGCUUGUGGUAGCUCUUCCCGACAUGGGGCUGGAGAGCCCUGCGGGACGGACUCUAAAGGUCACCUGCCCCAAUUGCUGCUUUAUGAUAGAUGUCCACAGAUUUCCUCGUUGGGAGCUGUAAAUUUGCCCCAAGCUGCAGGACCAGCUAGGGCCCACAGGAGAUGAAGUCCCCGGAGGGAUUCAGCUGCGGGACGAACCGUAUGCGUCCUGGACCAGGACUCGUGUUUUGUGUGCUUUUAGCUGACUACAGCACUCUAAAGCGGUUCAGUUGUUUAAGAAGGGAUUCCGGUUGGUCUAAUUCUUCUGCUUGAGUUUUAACGAGAAUGUGAACCAGAAUGUCAGACCCAUCCUUAACCAUCCGGAAACGGGUCUCAGAGAAACUAGCAUUUCUAGAGCAAUAGUUCCAAACUUUUGAGAGAGGACAAAGGGGGUUCCAAGGGAGAAGUCAAGUCCCUUAUUUUCAGGGUGUUUCAUCCAUCGAUCUGCAAGAACUGCAAAAGGAGACUAGCUGGCACGGUGGUAGAGUACUUGGCUAGCACGAGGAAAGCCCUAAAUUCAGUUCCCCCAGAUCCAGCAGAGUGAAAGAGAAAAAGCCAGAUCGCAUUUAAUGCACACAUUUGUUCUUGAUUCAACUGACUGCCAAUGAAGUGUCUUCUGAAAAUUUGUGUUAAAUACAUGCAAGGUAUUUUUCUUGUCAUUCUCUACACAUUUCAGCUAUGUCGUUAACGUCAUAUUUAGUGCUAUAAGUACUCCAGAGAUAAUUUAAGUAUCUGAAGUCAGUCAGGUCAUGGGCAUUUUCAACUAAAGUCACAGUUACUGGAAGGCUGAGGCAAGAGGAUCAGCCCAGGCCAGCCAGAGUAACAAGAAGAUCCUCAUUAAUACAGACCAGACCCACAAUCACAGCUAUUCAGACAGUUGAGGCAGGAGAAUCAAAACUUUAAGGCCUAUUCUGGGCCACAGAUAAAAUUCAAAUCUAUGUUGAGCGUGCCUGAGCAACUUAGACCCUCUCCCAAAAAUAAAUAAAAAUACAAAACUGGCUGGUCAUAGUGGUGCUCAUUUUAAUCCCAGUACUUGAUUAAAUCCCAGUACAGAGGCAGAUCUCUGAAUUCCAGGCUAGCUUGAUCUUCAUAGUUCCAAGAUGGCCAGCCUCACAUAUUGAGACCCUGUCUCAAAAGCAAACAAAAACACAACUACCAAAAA
rnacentral:lncRNA from 1 species